rnacentral:rRNA from 1 species
GAUGAACGCUGGCGGCGUGCUUAACACAUGCAAGUCGAACGAGAAAUGUAGACGGAAACCUUCGGGCGGAAGCCUUCAUUUCGAGUGGCGGACGGGUGAGUAACGCGUGGGUAACCUGCCUCAUACAGGGGGAUAACAGUUGGAAACGACUGUUAAUACCGCAUAAGACCACAGCAUCGCAUGAUGCGGGGGUAAAAACUCCGGUGGUAUGAGAUGGACCCGCGUUCGAUUAGCCAGUUGGCGGGGUAACGGCUCACCAAAGCGACGAUCGAUAGCCGAUCUGAGAGGAUGACCGGCCACAUUGGGACUGAGACACGGCCCAAACUCCUACGGGAGGCAGCAGUGGGGAAUAUUGCACAAUGGGGGAAACCCUGAUGCAGCGACGCCGCGUGAGUGAAGAAGUACUUCGGUAUGUAAAGCUCUAUCAGCAGGGAAGAAAAUGACGGUACCUGAGUAAGAAGCCCCGGCUAACUACGUG